UGAUGCAGGCCUGUAUGUUGCAGGAUUUGUCCCCAUGACCCAGAUGUAAAUCUGAUGAAAACAGAUCUUCCCUCAAGUCACCUGGAGUCAGGUAGGGGAGAGAAAGGCUGGAAUAAAGAGGUGAAAUGAAAGGAGCAGGUGGCAGAGACAGAGGUAAGUGUCCCUCUCUUCCCACCCCCAAGGGUAUGUGAGAACUUCCGACCUGGCUUCCUAACCAGUUAUAGGGAGGCCAUUACCUCCCUCACAGGUCACCCAGUUCCACUUGGGCAAUGUAGGGAGGUCUUUCUGGUCUUCACACUGGCAGAACAGAGUAGAAAUAGGGCUUAUCUCAUCAGUCUAAUGUGGUAAUUAGGGUGUUAGAUCAGGAUGUUUGCCAUGAGAAAUGGGUGUCCCUGUCAGCUCUGAGAGGGACCGUGGCCUUUCCUGCACCGACAUGUGAAGUGCAUCUCAGGAAGAAACAAGGAAAGUCAGAGAGACCGAUGGGAACAAGAUGGAAGGACGUUUGGGGGAGAUGACUUCUCUGGAGGAGAGGAGCUGGUGGGUGAUGGUUCUGGCCACCCAUUUUCCUGAUGCUCACUUCUUCCCCUUCAGGUUCCCAACCCCCAUGAAGAAUCACAGGUAUUCCCUGGUGGGGAAAGAGGUUCUGGAUCCUCCACACAUCCACUUGAUUUUCUGAGGCACUUGGUGAGGGUGGGGCCAGGGAGUGGGAAGAGAUGGAGGCACAGGCCACCCUCUGCCCGCUUGUGUCCCCAUGAGGUGUCAGGCAAGCAGUGAGGGUGGCCAUUGUGUGGGCUGGGGUGUGAUGCCCCUAGGGUCCUGCAACCUCCCGGUUCCAAUGACUGUAGUAUGGCAACAGCUUGUGUGGAUUCCUCCUUCUUCACUCCGUGUCUGCUCCCCAAAAUCCCCUCUGAUGCAGGGACAGGGAGAAGAUGUGAGACCUGCCAGGUAGGUGCUGCAGGGCUCAAAUCUGCCAGCUCACAUUCCUGUCCUGCGACCUCCCGCCUGCACAUCUAGUCAGCAGAUGGAAGCCUGCCAUUUGUGAAUUCUGUGAGCCCUGGUUGUUUUUUGCUUCUCUUUCCCAGUAAGGGUGGCUGAAGUUAGGGUGAUAGGACUAGAUGAUCUUUAGGACAAGUAGCCCUCUCCCUUGACCCACAGUGGCAACACGUAGAGAAACAUCAGUGUUUCCAGCAGUCGGCUGGAAAGCACACUGGGAACUUAGCAAUAUUUGGUCAGCCAACGCCCAAGGCUCCUUUCAACCCUAAGAAGGUGAGUGGAAGGUGAGUCCAAUCCCCAGCAUUCAAAUAAACGCAGAAAGAGCAACCUGUGGCUCACAGCUAUAAUUGUGAAGGUCAUCUGUUCCUGGGUAAAAACGAUUCUGAAUUAUCUUAGAUCUUUGCUACACCUAGCCUUUCAGCACUGUGAACUGUGAGGCUUCCCUUUCAAUAUCCUGAGAAGGGCAUGGAAACUAAAGUCACAACACUGAAGGGCAGUUGGUGGGCUGCAGUAACUGUGGUUCCGACUGCACCUGUAUACCUGUGAGCACACCUUUGGCAAUGGGCCUUUUUCUCCUCCUCCAGUCAGGCCUGGAAUUCAUUUCCCCACGUACUGACCCUGAGUGGCUCUAUGUGACUCCUUUUGGAAUAGUGUGUUUGAGGCAUGUCAUUGGUCACCUUCCUAGGGCCUGCCAGGGAAGAUGGCUUUUCUUAGUUUCUGCCCUUGUCUGUCAGCAGCUGGAGCUCUCUGUGCUAUGAAGAAUUCCAGAGUGAAAGUUCAAGUGCAGGGAGAGACCCGUCAGCCUGGCUGUUCCUGCCUUUCCUUCUGGGAUCUGAUAUUCUAAUGAGAUGGGCUUCUGAGUCCAGCCCACAUUCCCUGACUGCAAUGGCAUGAGAGAGCUCAGGUUGGUCCAGCAGGGCUUUGUGUGAUCCUCAGGUGAGCACAGGUAGCCUACUUGUGAUCCUCAGUUGAGACUACUUGUUUUCUUCAAUGCGCUCAACUACAUUUCACUUCUCUCAGCUUUUCUUAUUCAUCUACAAAUGUGAUAAAGCAAAGAUGACCCAAAUAGACUACUUAAAAUAGAGGAAUAAGAGAAUUUGCAGAAAUAUGCAUCAGCUCUAGGUUCAUACCUGGUAUAUCAUCAACUCUACUUCAUUUAUUUAGCUUAGGAAAGUUACAUGGCCAAGGCCAGCAUUAAAGAAUGUAAACGUGGUUCUGCUUAGAAUGAAAGAAC
rnacentral:lncRNA from 1 species